GAUGAACGCUAGCUACAGGCUUAACACAUGCAAGUCGAGGGGCAGCGGGAAGAUAGCUUGCUAUCUUUGCCGGCGACCGGCGCACGGGUGAGUAACACGUAUCCAACCUGCCGUCAGCUUGGGGAUAGCCCUCUGAAAGGAGGAUUAAUACCCGAUGUGGUUGUUGGCUGACAUCAGCCUUCAAUUAAAGAUUUAUCGGCUGUCGAUGGGGAUGCGUCUGAUUAGCUUGUUGGCGGGGUAACGGCCCACCAAGGCACCGAUCAGUAGGGGUUCUGAGAGGAAGGUCCCCCACAUAGGAACUGAGACACGGUCCUAACUCC
rnacentral:rRNA from 1 species